AUUCAUUUCAAAUGAAUUCCAAAAUUUGUGAUAGAAUUGAACCAAACACUAUGUGAAGCUGCAAAACCAGUGAUGCAGAAAUGCUAAGUCAUCUUCUUCGGUAAGGGUGUAAUCCAAUAUAAGAUCAUGUAAAAAUUAUUUACAAAAUCAUGUAAAAAUUAUUUACAAACACGCGCAAGAAGUCGAGCACAUCAGUAAAUGUCAUGUGAAACCAAAGAUGCUAAAUAAGUCCAUCCACUUGCAAAGAUGCAAGUAGAAGGUAGAAAAAUAACAAAAAUUGGGUCCACGAUACCAAUAUUACGUGCUCCAAUCAACUUGCUAUAGAGAAAAAGAAAGACUAUGGCAGGCCAAACCAUACCUUUGAAGAAAAAGAGCCACACAG
rnacentral:misc_RNA from 1 species